rnacentral:lncRNA from 1 species
CGUCUAGAGCAGCGUUGGCACAUCCUAGAUGCUCUGAAGGCUCUCUUGGAUGGAUGAGGAGCCCGGGAGGAAGUUACACCCCCCGCUGCUGCAGGCUUCUCUUUCUGCUCACCUCGUUCUUUUCCAUCUCCCUCCUGCAGCUCAGCCUCACUCCCUAUUGGCUCCUCCCCACAGCCCAUAAAGGAGCUCAAGUCUCCCUCAGAUCAUGUGCCUCAUUCUGCCCCCAUACCCAUUCUCCUUCUGUCUGCCUCCUAAACUUCGGCGCUCCUUGGGAUACCAUCCUCAGCUCUUUCUCUUCUUGCUUCCCAUGCUCCCGAGGGAUUGCCUAUGACCCACAUGCCGAGGAUGCGCAAAGGCUGCCUUCCCAACUCCAGACUCAUCCCUGCUUCUCAGACAGCUCCGCCCGGCUGCUUCACCACAGACUACGGGAAGUGACAAAACAACCCCAGAGUCUCACCUUUGGGGCGUCUAUUUCCUGAGACCAUCCUGGGUAAUGACUACCUGCUCCUGCUCCAGGCCAGCAAAGUGGGGUCCUUCUGGACUCCGUCUUCCCUCACAUCCCACAGCCAAUCAAUUCAGCUGCCUAACUG